GACGAACGCUGGCGGCGUGCUUAACACAUGCAAGUCGAACGGAAAGGCCCUGCUUUUGUGGGGUGCUCGAGUGGCGAACGGGUGAGUAACACGUGAGUAACCUGCCCUUGACUUUGGGAUAACUUCAGGAAACUGGGGCUAAUACCGGAUAGGAGCUCCUGCUGCAUGGUGGGGGUUGGAAAGUUUCGGCGGUUGGGGAUGGACUCGCGGCUUAUCAGCUUGUUGGUGGGGUAGUGGCUUACCAAGGCUUUGACGGGUAGCCGGCCUGAUAGGGUGACCGGCCACAUUGGGACUGAGAUACGGCCCAGACUCCUACGGGAGGCAGCAGUGGGGAAUAGUGCACAAUGGGCGGAAGCCUGAUGCAGCAACGCCGCGUGCGGGAUGACGGCCUUCGGGUUGUAAACCGCUUUCGCCUGUGACGAAGCGUGAGUGACGGUAAUGGGUAAAGAAGCACCGGCUAACUACGUG
rnacentral:rRNA from 1 species